rnacentral:rRNA from 1 species
UUUUUAAAGGGCCGCGGUAUACUGACCGUGCGAAGGUAGCAUAAUCAUUAGUCUUUUAAUUGAAGGCUUGUAUGAAUGGUUGGACAAAAAGUAAUCUGUCUCAGUUAUAAUAGUUGAACUUAACUUUUAAGUGAAAAGGCUUAAAUACUUUAAGGGGACGAUAAGACCCUAUAAAACUUAACAAUAAUUUGAUUAAAUUAUAAAUUGUUAGUAUAACUUGAUUUUAAUUAAUGUUUGUUGCGUUGGGGCGACGGGAAUAUAAUUAGUAACUGUUCUUAAAUAUUUUAUUAACAAGUAUAAUUGAAGAAUAAUUGAUCCUUUAUUAAAGAUUAAAAGAUUAAGUUACUUUAGGGAUAACAGCGUAAUCUUCUUUGAGAGUCCUCAUCGACAAGAAGGUUUGCGACCUCGAUGUUGAAUUAAGGUAUCCUUAUAAUGCAGCCAGUUAUAAAGGAAGGUCUGUUCGACCUUUAAAUCCUUACAUGAUCU